rnacentral:lncRNA from 1 species
GUUGGUGGCGGGGUGAGACUGGAGCCGGGCUCUCAGCUCCUCACCUCACGGCUGCAGCCCUUCGGCGCGCUGCUGAUGGACUGACCUGUAAAGGGCAUUUAGGAUGAGGGAUUUGCUCAUCAGGACCCGGAGGCUUUUCUUGUCACUUUCUAGCUGCUUGUCCCCCUGUGUCAUAGACAAACACACACAAGAGGGAAAUAUGAGUCAGAAAUUUUACAGCCUGUUCACGAUCCUCGAUUUAUGACAAUGCUGUAUUCCUGCCAUCCUCAGAACUUCUCCAAAAGGAAUUCAAGACUGAGAUGAAACGGAUGUUCCUAACAGCUACUGAAAAUUGGUGGAGCUCUCAAGUGUGCAAGGAUUACUGAAGAAGCAUUUAACACUUCUUUACUUCAGAACAUUCUUUUUUCCCCACUGUAAUGCCCAACGGUACGGUUUUGUGGAUGUAUUCAUGAUGCCUCUUUGACUUCUAUCUUGAUUUUCCUUUUAGCUUGAAGAUGAUGUCACUACACACAGUAGCCACACCACUCUCAAGGACCUCACGUACAUAUGUCAAUGAUUUAAAGAAAAGAUAAGUGUAAUUCAUAAUCCUCUCAUUGCUGUUAUAAGUUGCUGGAUAACUUCUGAUGUCAUCUUCAGAGGCUUUGGGCCUCUUUAACUAAAGAAAUCAAGGAAAAACAUGUAACAAAUAACAAUGUAUUCCUCUUUGACUGGAAGUAAGGUAGGUUGUACUAUAUUUGUCUAUCUUAUUAAAAACCAUUAGUAAGCAUAGCUGUCCUGUCAGGGAGUUUAUACAGUUACCGCUGUAUUGCAUAGGAAAAUGAGAAUGCAGCCAAUUACUACAUUGCAUUCCAUAUCAUUUGAUUAUUAGCAUGCAUUCACACUUAUUUUCAGUAAAAUGACAUUUAAGGCUAUGAAACAUAGCCUUAUGUAGUAGUACACUUGGUUCAUUAAGAAUGAAAAUGCAAAGUUAAACACAGAAGAAGCAGAAGAGAAAAUGAUCAGUGAGGAAGCGGAUUCUGGAUGGAUUAUCUAUGUUAAGAGGCUCAAAGGCAGGAUUAAAACAGAGGCAGUCAAAGCAUGUGCGUGGUUGCCAAACAAGUAAAAUGGAAUAUCAAAUCCAUCUGGCAGCACAUUAGGCAAAUAAAUAGGGAGGCUCAUUAAUUACUGUAUUCACAUUAAACAGUCUGUAAACAAUUACCAGAAACCAAAUAUUAUAAAAUAGAUAAAAUCAAGGAGCAUGUCACAGGGCAAAAAAACGAUGCUUCUGAAUGUAUUGACAUACCUUCUGAGUGUACAGAUUAGAGAUUGUGCUCUUUUGACACCUGAGCAUGAUUUAACUUUCUACUGCAAAUGGAGAUUGCUUUUCUUUCUUGAUUUCUGUGUUAUCACUGGGAAGACAUGUCCAAAUUAUUUUCUUGCGAGUCUUUUUCAGUAUUUAUUUUUUAUAAUGGUAUUAUAAAAGGUUAAGAACUUCAAUAUAUUUUUGCUGUGUUUUUAUUUAGAGACACCAGGUGACAGAUAACACAUUACUUCAUUAAGCCUUGUCCCUUUAUUAAAUAAAAAAUUACAACACUUAUGUAAAUUAAAGGGCAGAAAGAAUACAGAAGAAACUUACUGUUCCAAGACGUUUUGCUGAUAACUAAUGAUGCUUCAGUGAGCUACAAAUGAAUAUAACAUAAGGCAGCUUUAUUGCAUCCCCCAGUAGUAAAGAAAAACAAUGAAACGGAAUACCCCAGACCACCCUUCCGGCUUG